rnacentral:snoRNA from 1 species
AUGUAAUCAAUCUUGGAUUCAGAGAAACAAAGGCAAGAAGCUGUGCAUCGAUCACGCUUCAAUACCAGAUUAAGUACACUGCUAACAAUACUGAUCGGCCAUAUUGGCUUCAUUUCCCCAAACCAAAGACUGCCUCAUAAACUGGCCAUUGGCCCCAGCUCAUGAGGUCUUAGAACAAUGAUAUAUAGCUCACUGUUUUUGAUACAUCAACAUUGCACCAGUACAGAAUGCUGUUACAUAUUGCUUCAAUAUGAAAUCAACCUUACAAAUAAUCUACAUGAAAUCAGACCAAAUCAAAGCCAUCAUGAAAUCGAUCUUCAUAAGCUUGAAGCAGUUUUACCAUGAACUUAGGGAAAACUACUGAUAAUAUUACUACCAGUAGUACUACAGAAUUAGAUAGCAUGUAUUUGAUAUAUUUAUAUAUAUGCACUCGAUGAUGCAAAGAAAUAUUUGAAAUUUUGAAUCCAUUUCUUUUCUUCUUUUUUCUUCUAAUUAUAUUGACAUGUAUAAAUUGCAUGUAGUAGUCUAAUCAAAGCAAUGUAAUCUUAUAAUGUUAACUAUAUCCCUAGAGCUUGAAUCACUCUAGCCAGUUUUGAUCUAUUACUUUACGACACUAGGAACUCAAUUAGGAUUUACAUUGGCUUGACCUGAAGCUAAACAAGUUAUAUGCUUCUCUCAUUAUGAACCAGAAGCCAUGGUAGCCGAUUUAUGAAAAAACAUUCGGAGUGAUCAUAUUACUGUUUAGCAUGGCUUGAAUUUAGGCAAACCAAAAUGAAAAUCCAGAUAUAAAAAGAUUAUUCCUGGUAUCAACUAUGGUAAACAUUAAUCUGGUCAGUGACUUACAAAAGCAGAAGAAUAACGAUCGAGACUUGUGACUUUGCUUAAGACUUGUGAAUUAAUGUGCAGCCUCCCACAUUGAACAGAAGUGAAACAGCAAGGUGUUUAAAUAUGCAACCCCGCGUACAUUGGACACGACCUUACUUGAACAGGAUCUGUUCUAUAGGAUCGUACCUCUGUGUCCUUGACUUCUAAGGAGACAGGAAUCUAAACCUGGUGGAUGAAGCAUAGCCAUGCGAUCAGAGCGUGAUUAACGGCUGGUGAUCUUCGGGUCACUAUGGCUGUAGAUGAUCGUUCUCAGCUUGGUUUAUCCAAGUCUGGGGUGGUCGCUUGGCUGUCUGACAGGUU